UACAGAGGUCCCAAGCGUUGUUCGGAUUCACUGGGCGUAAAGGGUGCGUAGGUGGUGAGGUAAGUCGGAUGUGAAAUCUCCGAGCUCAACUCGGAAACUGCAUUGGAAACUACCUUGCUCGAGGGUUGGAGGGGGGACUGGAAUACUUGGUGUAGCGGUGAAAUGCGCAGAUAUCAGGAGGAACACCGGUGGCGAAGGCGGGUCUCUGGGGCCGAUACUGACGCUGGAGGAGCGAAAGCGUGGGGAGCGAACAGG
rnacentral:rRNA from 1 species